rnacentral:rRNA from 1 species
UACAGAGGGGGCUAGCGUUGUUCGGAAUUACUGGGCGUAAGGGCGCGUAGGCGGCCCGCUAAGUCGAACGUGAAAUCCCCGGGCUCAACCCGGGAACUGCGUCCGAUACUGGCAGGCUUGAAUCCGGGAGAGGGAUGUGGAAUUCCAGGUGUAGCGGUGAAAUGCGUAGAUAUCUGGAGGAACACCGGUGGCGAAGGCGGCAUCCUGGACCGGUAUUGACGCUGAGGCGCGAAAGCCAGGGGAGCAAACGGG